AGUUUGAUUAUGAAGCCAGAUUGAACGCUGGCGGGAUGCUUUACACAUGCAAGUCGAACGGCAGCACGGACUUCGGUCUGGUGGCGAGUGGCGAACGGGUGAGUAAUGUAUCGGGCAGUGCCUAGUAGCGGGGGAUAACUACGCGAAAGCGUAGCUAAUACCGCAUACGCCCUUCGGGGAAAGCGGGGACCUUCGGGCCUCGCACUAUUAGAGCGGCCGAUAUCGGAUUAGCUAGUUGGUGGGAGGUAACGGCUCAUCAAGGCGACGAUCCGUAGCUGGUUUGAGAGGACGACCAGCCACACUGGGACGGCAGAACUGGCCAGACUCCUACCAGGGAGGCAGCAGUGGGAAUUUUGGACAAUGGGAAACCCUGAUCCAGCCAUCACGGCUGUGCGAUGAAGGCCUUCGGGUUGUAAGCACUUUGGCAGGAAAAAACGGCACGGGAUAAUACCCCGUGCAACUGACGUACCUGCAGAAUAAGCACCGGCUAACUACGUGCCAGCAGCCGCGGUAAUACGUAGGGUGCAAGCGUUAAUCGGAAUUGCGGGCGUAAAGCGUGCGCAGGCGGUUCAGGAAAGAGAAAGAUGUAAAAAUCCAGAGCUUAACUUUGGAACUGCAUUUUUAACUACCGAGCUAGAGUGUGUCAGAGAGGAGGUGGAAUUCCCGCGUGUAGCAGUGAAAUGCGUAGAUAUGCGGAGGAACACCGAUGGCGAAGGCAGCCUCCUGAGAGUAGCUGCUGACGCUCAUGCACGAAAGCGUGGGGAGCAAACGGGAUUAGAUACCCUGGUAGUCCACGCCCUAAACGAUGUCAACUAGCUGUUGGGGCCUUCCGGGCCUUGGUAGCUGGCGCUAACGUACGAGUUGACUGCCCUGGGGAAGUACGGUCGCAAGAUUAAAACUCAAAGAAGAUUUGACGGGGACCCGCACAAGCGGUGGAUGAUGUGGAUUAAUUCGAUGCAACGCGAAAAACCUUACCUACCACUCCGUAUGUCUGGAAUCCGAAGAGAUUUGGGAGUGCUCGCAAGAGAACCGGAACACAGGUGCUGCAUGGCUGUCGUCAGCUCGUGUCGUGAGAUGUUGGGUUAAGUCCCGCAACGAGCGCAACCCUUGUCGUGAUUUGCUACGAAAGGGCAUAAUGAGACUGCCGGUGACAAACCGGAGGAAGGUGGGGAUGACGUCAAGUCCUCAUGGCCCUUAUGGGUAGGGGCUUCACACGUCAUACAAUGGUCGGGACAGGAGGUGCUUCAACCCGCGAGGGGGAGCCAAUCCAGAAACCCGAUCCGUAGUCCGGAUCACAGUCUGCAACUCGACUGCGUGAAGUCGGAAUCGCUAGUAAUCGCGGAUCAGCGUAAAUGGCAGUGAACAGACCGGGUCUUACACACCACUUCAGCUCCACACCAUGGGAGUGGGUUUACCCGAAGUAGUUAAGCUAACCGUAAGGAGGGCGAUUACCACGGUAGGAUUCAUGACUGGGGUGAAGUCGUAACAAGGUAA
rnacentral:rRNA from 1 species